CCCUGCCAUUUGUACACACCGCCCGUCGCUGCUACCGAUUGAAUGGUUCAGCAAGCUCCACAGACUGGUUGCAUUCUGUUGCUUCACGGCACAGUUUAUGUAUCGGGAAGUGGCGCAAACUUGACCAU
rnacentral:rRNA from 1 species